GCCCCGCGCCUCGCGUGGUGGUUGGGGAGGGGGUUGCGGCUUCAGGAGGCGGGUCUUUAGCUUUCGUGCACCUUUACCAGGAACCUUUACCCCACUCGCCGUGGCGGACUCGUGCUCUGCGAGUCUCGCCGGGAGGCUCCUGGGCCCGGGCACUGCGUGUGUCUCGGCCUGUGGAAGUCACCUUACAAAAUUUCCUUUCCCUCACCUUGCACGAAGGAGUAAGAUCUUUGGGAAGCGGGGAGUGGAGAGUGCGAAUGCAGGUCCCCGGAUUGACAAAACAAUCGGAGAGAAGUGCAUGCGUGCUUUGCACGUCUGGCGGAGCAGGAGAGCCGGCUCAACAACCUAGCGGCAGACUAGGGGAUAGUUGGGAGACUGAAGCCGUGGAGUCUGGUUCUGGGAUUUUCAAGUGGAUGUUUGGCUGUAGAUUCUGGGGAAAGAAGACCGUGUGCGCUCUGACCCUCUGUUGCUCAAGCAUCAAAUUGAAGGACGAGCCGUAUUAAGUGUAAAGGUUUAUAAUAAUUUAAGUAUUCAUAGAAUGCAGAACAAUAAGAUGUAGGAAAUACAAUUUGCAUAAUAAAUAUCAAUAUCACAACAGCUAAAACAAACCAUGACAAAUUAUAUGUGGC
rnacentral:lncRNA from 1 species